UACGUAGGGUGCAAGCGUUAAUCGGAAUCACUGGGCGUAAAGCGCACGUAGGCGGCUUUUUAAGUCCGUUGUGAAAGCCCCGAGCUCAACUUGGGAAUUGCAGUGGAUACUGGCAGGCUGGAGUACGGUAGAGGAAGGUGGAAUUCCCGGUGUAGCAGUGAAAUGCGUAGAUAUCGGGAGGAACACCAGUGGCGAAGGCGGCCUUCUGGACCAGUACUGACGCUCAUGCACGAAAGCGUGGGGAGCAAACAGG
rnacentral:rRNA from 1 species